CCUACGGGAGGCAGCAGUGAGGAAUAUUGGUCAAUGGACGAGAGUCUGAACCAGCCAAGUAGCGUGAAGGAGGAAGGCACAGAGGGUUGUAAACGUCUUUUAUAAAGGAAUAAAACGAGGCACGUGUGCCCUGUUGCGUGUACCUUAUGAAUAAGGAUCGGCUAACUCCGUGCCAGCAGCCGCGGUAAUACGGAGGAUCCGAGCGUUAUCCGGAUUUAGUGGGUUUAAAGGGAGCGUAGGUGGGUCGUUAAGUCAGUUGUGAAGGUUUGCGGCUCAACCGCAGAAUUGCAAUUGAUACUGGCAGUCUUGAGUACAGUUGAUGUCGGCGGAAUUCGUGUUGUAGCGGU
rnacentral:rRNA from 1 species